CCGAUGAUCUCCCCUCCCUAAGGACACUGGACCAUAGGAAGUGCUACAGUGCAUCAGACCAGCGGUCCAUCCAGUCCAGUGUCCUGGCUCUGGCAGUGGCCAAGAUCAGAUGCUCCAGAGAGGAAGGUAACAUAACAGCAAACAUACACUGCUAAGGCCGUAAUAAGCCAGUUGCUGCCUUGAUUCUACCCUCCACUCACAUUUCUGGAGUUCGAUUUUGCAAAACGUCAACAGAUUUGUGUUGAACCCUCAUGGAAUAAACUUCUGGGUUUCCUUACUUCGGAAAAGAAAGCAAACUGCCCCAGUUGCUUUGUUGCCUCACUGGCUUAGCCCAUCUUUUAAAAGAAAAUAAUUUCAUCAGGGCUUGUCACCAAAAUGGACCGUUCCCUUCCUUUGCAGCUCAACGGGGUGAUGGCUAAGCAGUGGAAUUUAAAAAAGAAUGAGAAGAAAAAAGGAACAGCCCCCACAUUGGGCCACGUGUAAUCUGCCUUUGGAAUCUGGAACAGAAGUCGCAUCGAUAUGGUUUCGAAAUAUGUGCAAACUAAUAUGAAAUUCCUUGUUGAUGGUGAAUGUUGGAAGUAAAGCCCAGUACCUGUAAAAUGAGCCCCUGUCUAUCACAUGCUUCAUAUUAAACUUUCAUGCAGUUUUCCUUCGCUGUUUUUUUUCCUGCUAAAGGGUUCUUAUAAACUUUCCUUCGUUUAUUUAGCCUGGUUUUCAUUGCUGCAGUUUUGCAUGGUUUGCCUUUGUUUAGUUUAUUAACCCACAGGGUUACUUUAACUAAAUAUUUGGGCUGAAUACUUUGGAGUUGGAUUUCAACAUUUUCUAACAAAAUUACUGAGUUUUUUGAAGCCACACAGAGAACUCUGUGUUGACUUGAUUAGUCAAUUUAACAGACUAUGGGGAAAAUAAAAAUAAGAAACAUACCUGAUGUAUCCCCUGUAAUGAGAAAUUGGACUGAAAGCAUCUCUUAUUUAGUAUUUUAGAUAACAUCAAGGCUGAGUUAAUUUUCAAUAACAUUUUAAUAGAAAUGUCAAACUUGUAACACCUCUGCCUUUGCCUUUACUGGGUUGGGAAAGAGGCAGUGUCCCAUUCAUGUGCUCAAGGUACUGUUUUCCCAGGCCCUAAAAUAAUAUACGCUUCCCUUAAGACAAUAUAAAGGAAUCUGUGACAGAGAAGGUUA